rnacentral:rRNA from 1 species
UACAGAGGGGGCAAGCGUUGUUCGGAAUUACUGGGCGUAAAGGGCGCGUAGGCGGCCCGCUAAGUCGAACGUGAAAUCCCCGAGCUCAACUCGGGAACUGCGUCCGAUACUGGCGGGCUUGAAUCCGGGAGAGGGAUGCGGAAUUCCAGGUGUAGCGGUGAAAUGCGUAGAUAUCUGGAGGAACACCGGUGGCGAAGGCGGCAUCCUGGACCAAUUCUGACGCUGAGGAGCGAAAGCCAGGGGAGCAAACGGG